GCCGGAACUGCGCAGCCCGCCCCGGCUACGCGACGUCCGGGGCGGCCGCAGCCGCGGGGUUCGAGGGGCGCGCGGGCCGCUGCGCCGGCGGGAAGCGGCGGGGCGCUGAGGCGGCGGGGCGCUGAGGCGGCGUUCCCGCCCGGCGGGGCAGCGCCCUCCGCCCCUCGCGGUCAGCGCGGCCGCCGGAGGGGCGAUCUGAGGCCGGGAGCCAAGUAGGGCGGUCCCCGCAGGGAGCAGGAGGGGCGUUGGGUUCAUCUCCUUUCUGAGCCCUGAGCGAACGCUGGGCUCUUCGAGCAGAGCUCCGCGCCGAGGCAGGACUUGCUGAGCGCGGAGCCGUGCCGCCCUCGCAGGUGGGAGCGCGCAGCUCUGCUGCUCUGAGUGCAUGCGGGCUCUGCUCGUAUCUCCCUGUACUCAGGAGAUAAAGAAGUUAGUUUUUUUUUUUUUUUCCCCUUAAAUCGGACAACGUAGCGGACUGUUUUUUGUCAGUUGUUCCACAUCCCUUCGCUGAAGGCAGUGUCCGGCAUGAGAAGCUCAGGAUGGAGUCUGUUCACCUGCCCUCCGUUCUUGGAUUCCCGCUUAGCUGUGGCCGUUACUACCUAUGUCCUAUCCCAAAUGCUGUUCUGUUGCACCCUCUUAAAAAUGUGACCCCAAGAGAAGUUUCAGCCUCCACACCUUGUAUUGAAGAGUCAGCUUCUUCCUCAGCCUCAGGAUGGGGCUCCGUACAUAAGAACGUGGUUAUCCCAUGCACAGUGCUCCAGCACACUGUUUCCAAAUAGAGAUAGCAAAUCUGAGUUUGGAGUCACCUUUACUUCAGUAUUCUAGAGCUACAGAAUGAGUGAGUAUUUAAGUCUGGCCUUAUUGCAGACCUGUAAUUUUAAAAGCAUAAGUAUUUUUUACCUCAAAUAGAAGAUGCAAGUGUUCAAGGAAAUGUUUAUAGUUCAUUCAAAGCUGUGACUACUGUUUGUACAUAUGCGAGGAAACAUUAACUUAAGUCUGAGUUAUUGAUAGACGGCUAGUUUAAUGUUGAGACCCUUGUGUAAUUGAUGUCGUUAUUACUAUAGCAUGGCAUUCAGUGCAAGCAAGCCAGUUGCAAAUUUACCUAAGUUUGUUAUGGUGUCUUGCAGACUGUACUGAGUUAAUUCCUGCCAGUAUAUUUAGUCUGAAGGUAAGUGAAUUAUAUAAAUGAACUUCUGACUAGACUUGAGGCUGUACACCCAAAAGGAAAGUGUUUGGAAGCAAUAUUGACCUAGCCUCACCUCCUGUGCCACCUGCUGCUGUUUUCUGUGGUUUACUACCCCUUCAAUUGUUCCAGCCCAAUGAUUUGUGCAGCUGCACUCAGAAAUGGAUCUGGAAACUCAUCUACUUAAAUACAAAAAAAAAAAAAAAAUCUACCAGGUUUUCUUCUGGCUUAGUUUCAAGGCAGAUCAGGACUCCAGUGCAAUGAACUGUGUGGCAACACAGACUAUUUCUUCUAUAACAACAGAGUUCAUUAAUGCUGCAGGAGGAAGAUUACCAAAGACAAGCAAUAACACCUCAAGCCACUGUUGCCACUAAAUACUUCAUCUAGACACAACUAAAUCUAUUAUUUCAGUGUUUCAUAGUAAAUUAUGAUUUAAAUUAAGAUCGUAUUUUAAAUGAUUGUGAUUGGACAUAAUUUUAUAUGCAUCUCCUUAUGGCUUAUGGGUAUAGUUUGGGCUCUGACGAGUGUAGAUAAACAAUUCUGAGGACAGCUCAGAGUAGAGCUUUAUGCCUUUUAUCUGUGAGUAGAAUUCUUGAGAUCCUUCCAGUUUCAGAUAAACUGCCAGUGGAGAAAAGCAAUGAUAUGAAAAUAAGAUUAUGUCCAUUUUAAUAAGUAUUUUGUAACAAGGGGUCUGUUUUCGUAUUGCCCUCAGUUGUUUCUGGAGGCAUAUCUUACUACUUUGGUCGUGUGCAAUUUCUUUAUUCUUCCUGGUCAUCAUUUUUAUAGUGAAGGAAGCCGUUCUAGCAGGGUUGAAUCCCUUUUUUGUAACUGGUGAAGUAUGUGGAAAUUUAACCAACCAAGUUUUUCUGGUUUCUAUGAAAAAUACUGUCUGUGAAAACAUAAAAGCACUUACAAAAUGUCAACAUUCACUCCUAUCUGCAUGCAGAUCAAUACAAAUGGGUCACCGUAACCUCUUAGAGAACAGGUCUGCAUGACAACUGGAACUAAUAUGUAUCUAAGGUUCUCAAAAAAAAAAAACAAAAAAAAAAACAACAAACACCACCACCACCAACAAUGAAAAGUCUUUAUCUAUGGAGUAUCUGCUCCCAGCCUCCCAGCAAGGCAAUUUAUAUCAGAUGGGUCUGGAUGAUCUUGUUUCCAGAUGACUUCUUUUAACUUUUCAAUUUUUUUAAUGCAGAAGUAUAUAUUCUGCAUUGCUUGUUUCACCUUGUCUCCUUGUUAAAUGACUGUCUUACUAUGAUAAAUACUUUUAACUGUCAGAAAUGUAGGAUAAGUUCUCUAAUUGUAUGUGUAAUUACCACCACUGCAUGCUGUAAGCAGUGCAUGUAUCUAUCUUGGGGCAGCACAUUCAGAAGCUAUUAAGUAAGAAGCUGAAAAGACAUUUCUUCACUGUGUGGUGGUAUGAGUGAUGCAGAUGCUGAACUGACACGGGAAGGUGGUGCAGCACACACCUGAAGAUAUAUUACUUGCUAACUACAAAUAAUGAAACGGAUGUCGCAAAACUCGAAAUGACCCCAGUAUUAUAGUUGUCUGUGAAAAUCGUAAGAUAGCUGUGUAUAAUGCCUUAUGUGGACUGCAGAGCCUGAAUUCAGCUGAGAACUAAAUCAUAGAACAAUUAACAAAACCCCUAAAAUACUGUCUGGUCUUAGUUCACUAAUAUUGGUCAGGUUCAGUGUACCCCAUGAUUUGUGUUCAGCAGCCUUGUAGUUUAAUCAGGAGCUAGAAUAAGAGUGAUUUGCAAGAAGUAGCUUUAAUUUUAAAAUCUUCAUUGAAAUGGCAAAGUCAAAAGAGAAAUAUAAAUAUUUGAUAUUUAGAUUUGGCUCCUUAGGCAUGUUAGUUGAAAACUGAAAUAUGAAGAGGUCAAAUAUGAAGUAGAUUGCAGAGACUUGGGUUUUCUGGAUUUGUUUCCUUCUAAAGGCAUUCCAUUUGCUACCAAUUUCAAUUCUGUAUGUGAGAUUAGAUUCAGCAAAACUUUCAAUUGUGUAGAGUAUAUUCAGACUUAAGGUUUGCCUACUGGGUCUGCAUAAUCAGUGAAAAUUCUGAAAAUUAAGUUGUCUGUUUAAAAUGUUAUACAGAAUACAUACCAAUCUUUUUUCAUUUGUCAUGUUCUUCUGUUAUAUAUUGUGAUAGUGUACUGUUAAACAUCAUAUAUAAAUAUAGUGUUUAAUAAAUAAGAAGUAAGUUGGAAAGAUUAAUCUGUU
ensembl:lncRNA